AGUGAACGCUGGCGGUAGGCCUAACACAUGCCAGUCGAACGGCAGCACAGUAAGAGCUUGCUCUUACGGGUGGCGAGUGGCGGACGGGCGAGGAAUACAUCGGAAUCUACUUUUUCGUGGGGGAUAACGUAGGGAAACUUACGCUAAUACCGCAUACGACCUACGGGUGAAAGCAGGGGAUCUUCGGACCUUGCGCGAUUGAAUGAGCCGAUGUCGGAUUAGCUAGUUGGCGGGGUAAAGGCCCACCAAGGCGACGAUCCGUAGCUGGUCUGAGAGGAUGAUCAGCCACACUGGAACUGAGACACGGUCCAGACUCCUACGGGAGGCAGCAGUGGGGAAUAUUGGACAAUGGGCGCAAGCCUGAUCCAGCCAUACCGCGUGGGUGAAGAAGGCCUUCGGGUUGUAAAGCCCUUUUGUUGGGAAAGAAAAGCAGCAGGUUAAUACCCCGCUGUUCUGACGGUACCCAAAGAAUAAGCGCCGGCUAACUUCGUG
rnacentral:rRNA from 1 species